rnacentral:rRNA from 1 species
GCAGCCUUAUGGGUUGUAAACCUCUUUUUUCAGGGAGGAAAAAAAAUGACGUGUACCUGAAGAAUAAGCAUCGGCUAACUCCGUGCCAGCAGCCGCGGUAAGACGGAGGAUGCAAGUGUUAUCCGGAAUUACUGGGCGUAAAGCGUCUGUAGGUGGUUUAAUAAGUCAACUGUUAAAUCUUGAGGCUUAACUUCAAAACAGCAGUCGAAACUAUUAGACUAGAGUAUAGUAGGGGUAAAGGGAAUUUCCAGUGGAGCGGUGAAAUGCGUAGAUAUUGGAAAGAACACCGAUGGCGAAAGCACUUUACUGGGCUAUUACUAACACUCAGAGACGAAAGCUAGGGUAGCAAAUGGGAUUAGAUACCCCAGUAGUCCUAGCUGUAAACAAUGGAUACUAGAUGUUGAACAGAUCGACCUGUGCAGUAUUAAAGCUAACGCGUUA